CCUACGGGAGGCAGCAGUGGGGAAUAUUGCACAAUGGGGGAAACCCUGAUGCAGCGACGCCGCGUGAGUGAAGAAGUAUUUCGGUAUGUAAAGCUCUAUCAGCAGGGAAGAAAAUGACGGUACCUGAGUAAGAAGCCCCGGCUAACUACGUGCCAGCAGCCGCGGUAAUACGUAGGGGGCAAGCGUUAUCCGGAUUUACUGGGUGUAAAGGGAGCGUAGACGGCAGCACAAGUCUGGAGUGAAAUGCCGGGGCUUAACCCCGGAACUGCUUUGGAAACUGUGCAGCUAGAGUGUAGGAGAGGUAAGUGGAAUUCCUAGUGUAGCGGUGAAAUGCGUAGAUAUUAGGAGGAACACCAGUGGCGAAGGCGGCUUACUGGACUGUAACUGACGUUGAGGCUCGAAAGCGUGGGGAGCAAACAGGAUUAGAUACCCCUGUAGUC
rnacentral:rRNA from 1 species